UAACGCGUGGGAAUCUGCCCUUAGGUACGGAAUAACUCAGGGAAACUUGAGCUAAUACCGUAUAAUGACUCCGGUCCAAAGAUUUAUCGCCUGAGGAUGAGCCCGCGUCGGAUUAGCUAGUUGGUGAGGUAAGAGCUCACCAAGGCGACGAUCCGUAGCUGGUCUGAGAGGAUGAUCAGCCACACUGGGACUGAGACACGGCCCAGACUCCUACGGGAGGCAGCAGUGGGGAAUAUUGGACAAUGGGCGAAAGCCUGAUCCAGCAAUGCCGCGUGAGUGAUGAAGGCCUUAGGGUUGU
rnacentral:rRNA from 1 species